rnacentral:rRNA from 1 species
GACGAACGCUGGCGGCGUGCCUAAUACAUGCAAGUAGAACGCUGAAGGAGGAGCUUGCUUCUCCGGAUGAGUUGCGAACGGGUGAGUAACGCGUAGGUAACCUGCCUGGUAGCGGGGGAUAACUAUUGGAAACGAUAGCUAAUACCGCAUAAGAGUAGAUGUUGCAUGACAUUUGCUUAAAAGGUGCAAUUGCAUCACUACCAGAUGGACCUGCGUUGUAUUAGCUAGUUGGUGGGGUAACGGCUUACCAAGGCGACGAUACAUAGCCGACCUGAGAGGGUGAUCGGCCACAAUGGGAAUGAGACACGGCCCAGACUCCUACGGGAGGCAGCAGUAGGGGAUCUUCGGCAAUGGACGGAAGGCUGACCGAGCAACGCCGCGUGAGUGAAGAAGGGUUUCGGGUCGUAAAGCUCUGUUGUAAGGGAAGAACGAGUGUGAGAGUGGAAAGUUCACACUGUGACGGUAUCUUACCAGAAAGGGACGGCUAACUACGUG